rnacentral:rRNA from 1 species
CCUACGGGAGGCAGCAGUGGGGGAUAUUGCACAAUGGGGGGAACCCUGAUGCAGCGACGCCGCGUGGGUGAAGGAGUGCUUCGGCAUGUAAAGCCCUAUCGGCAGGGACGAAGCAAGACGGUACCUGACUAAGAAGCCCCGGCUAACUACGUGCCAGCAGCCGCGGUAAUACGUAGGGGGCGAGCGUUAUCCGGAUUCACUGGGUGUAAGGGGAGCGUAGACGGCCAUGCAAGCCAGGGGUGAAAGCCCGGGGCACAACCCCGGGACUGCCCUUGGAACUGUGCGGCUAGAGGGCGGGAGGGGCAGGCGGAAUUCCUGGUGGAGCGGUGAAAUGCGGAGAUAUCAGGAGGAACACCGGCGGCGAAGGCGGCCUGCUGGACCGCGACUGACGUUGAGGCUCGAAAGCGUGGGGAGCGAACAGGAUUAGAUACCCUGGUAGUC